UACAGAGGUCUCAAGCGUUGUUCGGAUUCAUUGGGCGUAAAGGGUGCGUAGGCGGCGCGGUAAGUCGGGUGUGAAAUCUCGGAGCUUAACUCCGAAACUGCAUUCGAUACUGCCGUGCUUGAGGACUGGAGAGGAGACUGGAAUUUACGGUGUAGCGGUGAAAUGCGUAGAUAUCGUAAGGAAGACCAGUGGCGAAGGCGGGUCUCUGGACAG
rnacentral:rRNA from 1 species